AUGCAUGAGUUAACUAAGGAAAACAUUGAGCGUAUGAAUGCUAAAUAUAAACUUGCUGGAGGUAAGGGUAGAAAACAUGUUGUGUUUGCACCUGGAGAUCUUGUUUGGUUACAUUUGCGUAAGGAUAGAUUUCCUAAUUUGCGCAAAUCAAAGCUAAUGCCACGUGCUGAUGGUCCCUUUAAGGUGUUAGAGAAAAUAAAUGAUAAUGCAUAUAAACUUGAGCUGCCUGCAGAUUUUGGGGUUAGUCCCACUUUUAACAUUGCAGAUUUGAAGCCUUAUUUGGGUGAGGAAGAUGAACUUCCGUCGAGGACGACUUCAUUUCAAGAAGGGGAGGAUGAUGAGGACAUCAAUACAAUUGUUACACCCACAACCCCUGCUGCUAUACAUACUGGACCAAUUACUAGAGCUCGUGCACGCCAACUAAAUUACCAGGAACAGACCUUCGUGGUCAGGCUGACCGUGCUUCCGGCAUCGUCAGUAACCUCAGGGGAUUGGUUUAGCGAUUGCUAA
rnacentral:rRNA from 1 species